rnacentral:misc_RNA from 1 species
UGGGUUGUAGUUAUCAAGCAGAGAACAAAAACGAGAAAAGGUACGCCUCCUUAAUACAUCUUCCUUUAGCCAGCUAAAUAAGCUUCCUUGUGCCACAUCUUCCUUCUCAUAUAUCUUUUUCCCCUCACCACAAUCAAUCUGAUAGUCCUUGCCAGGCACCAAACGAUUUAUGUCAAGAUGCCAGAGCCUGUUGCAAGCUUGCGAUAGGUCAGCAAGCUCCUCUUCUGAAGGGAUUAAAUUUUCAUCAUUUUCAACCUCAUCAGAGUAUUCUUGUUCACUAGGAGGUCUUUUGUAUCCAUGCCAGUGAUCCUUUUCAAUCUUGUGUGGUCGCUUAGGAUGCUUUUUGACAACUGUCUCCCAACCAUCAUUAUUUUCUUCUCCUCCCUUCUUUCUAUCCCAUUGAUUUUGAUUAUAAUCAUGUUGCUCAUCACAUUCAUUUCUUCCAUAUCCUUCAUGAUCAUCCUGUUUCCGCCACUGAUUUGUAGGACGAUAACCAUGCAAGUGAUCACUGCUCGCUUGAUCACUGUUAUCCUGCUCUCCGGAUACCACUUGCGCCCAGCUGGAUCUAGAUCGUUCAUCUCGUGGCUCAGCGCUCGAUUCGUCAUCUUUCUGGUCGUGGCCAAGAGCCACGUCCAUCAAACCCUUGAUAAGACCGUCCAUUUCUCGUUGCAGAGAGAGAGAGAGAGAG